AGUGUUAGCGUUAUCGUAUCUAAAUCUUAAUCGUUCAAUCAGAUUGUGAUUCCAGAUUAUAUUGACAUCAAUAUUAUCUCAAAUAUUCAAUUAUAUCGCAAUUAUUAAUUACAGUGACAUCAACAUUAUUUUAUCUAAAUAUCAGUCAUCCAAUCAUUUUUUACUUUUGGUUACGAACCAACUUGAUUGUCAUCGAGUUUCCAUCCGACAUUUCGAACAAGAUUCAAGGACUCGUUAGCAAUAAGACAAACCAUACCCCACCUACAACAAUAAAAACAUCAAUUCUGGUAAGCUAAAACACUUCAAAGAAAAUGUUUACACAGUGGAAUCAAUUACACCAGCACAGAAAAAGUAUAGAAGAAUAGAGCCAAAACUGCCAAGCCCAUUAGUAUUCCGACAUAUAAAAAGUGACAGGCUACAAAUUCUAAGAGGAAUUAUCCCUGUCAUAAUACCAUAGAUCAAACUAAAUUUUGCAUUUUGUAACUUCCAUAAUUACGGUGCAAGGAUGCAAUGUAAAAAUAAUAGUAAUAAUAAUCAUUAUAAUCUUAAGCAGUUAUGUAGAACAGAAAAAUCAGUCACUAAUCUUAAGCAAUAUGCAGCUCUAACCUUUUUUUCUGUUAUAAAAAAAAUCUGCGUAGUGCAGCAGCUAUUAUCUGUGUCCUUAAGAAAAGAAAACCACAAGGUAACGCUGUUUCGAACUGUAAAGAGUAGUGUAUACUGUCAUGAGGAAGCUCAAUGUAUGCAACAAUGGUGAAAGAAGCACCAGUGUAAGGCGCAAGCCAAGCCUAACUGACAGAGAAGAGAGAUGAGCACAGAUUGAGCUUGGAAACCAAGAAAAGUUUUAUUGCAC
rnacentral:lncRNA from 1 species